rnacentral:lncRNA from 1 species
AUAUCUAUUUUUAGGUAUCUAUAAAAAAAAAAAAAAAAGAUAAAGAGUAGAAUAGUAUGUUGUCAAGUGUGAAGUAAUCAAUACACAGAAGUAUUAUAGCCCUUGAACGUGCCCUGUAGAGCUAUAGGUUACAGGGGAAAUACAGGGUUUCUUGGCAAAGGUUGUAUUUGAGUAGAAGCUUGAGAAGUGGGUAAUAUUUAAGUAGGAAAGGAGGUCUUCCUAAAGUAGGAUGCAGGGCAUACUGUGAACGAAUAACACAAGAUAAAAAUGAGCAAGGCG